CUCUAGAGAUAGGGGAAGAGAAAUGGCAACAAAUUGGAUGGAGUGGUCAGGGAAGGCCUCAAAGAGGAAGUGACUCAGGCGGCAUCUGCUGUGAGACAGGAAUCUGGCUCUGCAGCAACAUGGGAACACAGCAUUCUUGGCACAGAUGCCCUGGGAUGGGAACGAGGAGGCCAGGGUGCCAGGAGCUUUGUGGAAGAGGCAGGCAGAAGCUGAAUCUUGGGACCAUCCUUUCUCACCUUGCAUGGCCCAACAAGUCUGUGUAGGGCCUUUUCCAGGAAGGCAGAGCCUACCCCUAGCUGACUCUGUGUCCCUUCCUGUGGUUGCCUCACUGGUCCAGUCUCACUGUCUCACUAGUCCCUCUGGCUCCCUCUGGCUACUUCCGGCUUCCUCUGGCAACAGACUACUGGGGGAGAUAAGUGAGAAUUGCAACAUGCUCUCUCCUUACCCUCAAGGAACUAGGAAGAUAGAAUCUCUAUGGACCCCACAAGACGACUGAUACUACAGACUAGGCAAGAGCACCAGAUGAGAAAAUGGAGGUACCAAAAAGUGGGCUCUGAACUGUGGAGCCUGGCUCCAGAGCCCUUGUAUUUGACUACUGGGAUCCACCGUUAUUCUCACAGCCGCGUUUCCCACAGGGCUGCUUUGUAUGGCCUCUUAGAAAAGUCCUGCCUGUCUCCACCAUCCAGACUAUGAUGUCCGUGAGGUCAGAGGAAAGGGAGAAUGUCUCACAUACAGAAAAUGCUUGAUCAACAUUGAUGGAAUCAUAAAUGGUAUUUCCUUGUAUCUCUCCGUGUACUGUAUAUGUCAUUCACCAAAUGUCUUGAAAACGAUUUGGGGUUGGGGGAAAGGACGGAGGGGACAGUGGCUAGAAGCACAGAGUCCAGAGUCUGAAGUACUGGGUUUUAAUUCCUGUCUCUAUCCCUUUCUAGCUAUGUGAACUUGGGCAAGUUACUCAGCCUCUUGGCCUCAGUUUGAUCAUCUAUUAAAUGGGGAUAAUAACAGCUUCUGCCUGCUAGAAUUGUUGUAAGGAUUAAAUGAGAUAAUGCUUGAUCCAUGCUUGGCAUAGUAAGGGCUCUAUAAAUGGCAGCUAUUGUCACUGGUAAUAUGAUGUUGUGUAACUUCUGCUUGCCCUGUGUCUCAUGUGAAGCUGAAGCCUCCCAUUAGCCCUUCCGCAGGCCACAGCCGGCAGCUUGUGGGCAGGUGCCUGCAACAGGCAUGACCCACUCCUCCCCAUCUGUCAGGGUGAAUCCUCCACCACUUCCGGUCAGAGCUUACAACCUACUUAUUAGGUUAAUUAGGCACAACACCUUUCCAAAGAUACCUUGGCACCAAAGCCAGCCCUAACAUCUGGUGAGCAGCUUGACAAGGAUUUGGGAAAUGACACGUUGUUAUCAGCCUCUGGCUGAAGCAAGUGGGUUGAGUUGGGGGGCAGA